AGCAGCCGCGGUAAUUCCAGCUCCAAUAGCGUAUAUUAAAGUUGUUGCAGUUAAAAAGCUCGUAGUUGAAUUUCGGGAUCAGUUCGCUGGUCGUGCCUUCGGUAUGUACUGGUGUUACUGGUUCCUACCUUCUGACGAACCGUCAUGUCAUUAAUUUGGUGUGGCGGGGAAUCAGGACUGUUACUUUGAAAAAUUAGAGUGUUUAAAGCAGGCUCGCGCUUGAAUACAUUAGCAUGGAAUAAUGAAAUAGGACGUUCGAUCCUAUUUUGUUGGUUUCUAGGAUUGACGUAAUGAUUAAUAGGGAUAGUUGGGGGCAUUAGUAUUCAAUUGUCAGAGGUGAAAUUCUUGGAUUUAUUGAAGACUAACUACUGCGAAAGCAUUUGCCAAGGAUGUUUUCAUUAAUCAAGAACGAAAGUUAGGGGAUCGAAGACGAUCAGAUACCGUCGUAGUCUUAACCAUAAACUAUGCCGACUAGGGAUCGGAUGAUGUUAAUUUUUAAUGUACUCAUUCGGCGCCUUAA
rnacentral:sRNA from 1 species